GUGUGAAGGCGACAGGUGUAAUGCAACAUGCAAUGGUCUCAGAUGUACCGCAACUUGUAAGGGCGUCGGAUGCUUUCAAUCGGCGGCCUUUUGGUAAACAAUGAUACCAGAAGCGGUACCAUGGUCGCAUUUUUAUCCCCUGUCAUGCCAUGCGUCACUUUCGCACUUACAUAUUGUUUAGAACGUGACAGGCAUGGUGACAAAUGAUAAAGAGCCGACCAUCUUAGCCCUACAAGUUUACUUA